CCUUGAGAUAGCUGCAGAAACUCAAGUAAAGCCCAGGUCCUGCUGCUGUGAUGGGCUGACGUACAGGAACCUGCAUGACAAGAAACGACACGUGCUGUGACACACACAGGAUUGAGCUGCUGUCAAGGCCACUGCCUGCUUACACUGGGCACAUUAAACACCAACUGGAAGACAAAAUCAAGGCCUCAUGCAGUGAAUAACACAAGCAGAGAGACCUUGCUAUCAAUAGCUGGGACACAUGCAGAGGAUGAACAAAGUGAGCAGGAGCUAGGUGACAAUGUUUUUCCGCUCUGGGAGUGCCUGAUUCUUCUUGAAGAAGAGACUGUCUGAAUCCAUUGCACUCCUGCGUAGCUCAGCCUAUGAUAGACACAAAGUAUAAUCACAGCCCUUGAAAUGUAACAAGCCCCUCAUGUACAGUGAAACAAUUCCAGACAUAUACAUGUGACAUGAGAAGAACCAGAUGCCAAAAAUUUCUCUUUUGCCAUAAAGGACAAAAAUAUUCUCUAUAAAAGAUGGUGACCAGCAGAAAUGUUCUAGCCAGCUUGUCUGGGACACAUUGGUAGCUCCCACAUUCUUCAUGAGCUUGUGGAUGAGAUGAGAUGGAAGAUAAGGCACUACCUACCAAGCAGAGACUGAGUGGUGAUGAUACUGCACAGAGAGGACAGGAGCAU